rnacentral:rRNA from 1 species
GGGUUGUGAGGUUAAGCGACUAAGCGUACACGGUGGAUGCCCUGGCAGUCAGAGGCGAUGAAGGGCGUGCUAAUCUGCGAUAAGCGCCGGUAAGGUGAUAUGAACCGUUAUAACCGGCGAUACCCGAAUGGGGAAACCCAGUGUGAUUCGUCACACUAUCAUUAACUGAAUCCAUAGGUUAAUGAGGCGAACCGGGGGAACUGAAACAUCUAAGUACCCCGAGGAAAAGAAAUCAACCGAGAUUCCCCCAGUAGCGGCGAGCGAACGGGGAGGAGCCCAGAGCCUGAAUCAGCAUGUGUGUUAGUGGAAGCGUCUGGAAAGGCGCGCGAUACAGGGUGACAGCCCCGUACACAAAAGCGCAUGUGCUGUGAGCUCGAUGAGUAGGGCGGGACACGUGGUAUCCUGUCUGAAUAUGGGGGGACCAUCCUCCAAGGCUAAAUACUCCUGACUGACCGAUAGUGAACCAGUACCGUGAGGGAAAGGCGAAAAGAACCCCGGCGAGGGGAGUGAAAAAGAACCUGAAACCGUGUACGUACAAGCAGUGGGAGCACAGGUUUACCUGUGUGACUGCGUACCUUUUGUAUAAUGGGUCAGCGACUUAUAUUCUGUAGCAAGGUUAACCGAAUAGGGGAGCCGGAGGGAAACCGAGUCUUAAUUGGGCGUUAAGUUGCAGGGUAUAGACCCGAAACCCGGUGAUCUAGCCAUGGGCAGGUUGAAGGUUGGGUAACACUAACUGGAGGACCGAACCGACUAAUGUUGAAAAAUUAGCGGAUGACCUGUGGCUGGGGGUGAAAGGCCAAUCAAACCGGGAGAUAGCUGGUUCUCCCCGAAAGCUAUUUAGGUAGCGCCUCGUGAAUUCAUCUCCGGGGGUAGAGCACUGUUUCGGCUAGGGGGCCAUCCCGGCUUACCAACCCGAUGCAAACUGCGAAUACCGGAGAAUGUUAUCACGGGAGACACACGGCGGGUGCUAACGUCCGUCGUGAAGAGGGAAACAACCCAGACCGCCAGCUAAGGUCCCAAAGUCAUGGUUAAGUGGGAAACGAUGUGGGAAGGCCCAGACAGCCAGGAUGUUGGCUUAGAAGCAGCCAUCAUUUAAAGAAAGCGUAAUAGCUCACUGGUCGAGUCGGCCUGCGCGGAAGAUGUAACGGGGCUAAACCAUGCACCGAAGCUGCGGCAGCGACACUGUGUGUUGUUGGGUAGGGGAGCGUUCUGUAAGCCUGUGAAGGUGUGUCGUGAGGCAUGCUGGAGGUAUCAGAAGUGCGAAUGCUGACAUAAGUAACGAUAAAGCGGGUGAAAAGCCCGCUCGCCGGAAGACCAAGGGUUCCUGUCCAACGUUAAUCGGGGCAGGGUGAGUCGACCCCUAAGGCGAGGCCGAAAGGCGUAGUCGAUGGGAAACGGGUUAAUAUUCCCGUACUUGGUGUUACUGCGAAGGGGGGACGGAGAAGGCUAUGUUGGCCGGGCGACGGUUGUCCCGGUUUAAGCGUGUAGGCUGGUUUUCCAGGCAAAUCCGGAAAAUCAAGGCUGAGGCGUGAUGACGAGGCACUACGGUGCUGAAGCAACAAAUGCCCUGCUUCCAGGAAAAGCCUCUAAGCAUCAGGUAACAUCAAAUCGUACCCCAAACCGACACAGGUGGUCAGGUAGAGAAUACCAAGGCGCUUGAGAGAACUCGGGUGAAGGAACUAGGCAAAAUGGUGCCGUAACUUCGGGAGAAGGCACGCUGACACGUAGGUGAAGUGAUUUACUCAUGGAGCUGAAGUCAGUCGAAGAUACCAGCUGGCUGCAACUGUUUAUUAAAAACACAGCACUGUGCAAACACGAAAGUGGACGUAUACGGUGUGACGCCUGCCCGGUGCCGGAAGGUUAAUUGAUGGGGUCAGCGCAAGCGAAGCUCCUGAUCGAAGCCCCGGUAAACGGCGGCCGUAACUAUAACGGUCCUAAGGUAGCGAAAUUCCUUGUCGGGUAAGUUCCGACCUGCACGAAUGGCGUAAUGAUGGCCAGGCUGUCUCCACCCGAGACUCAGUGAAAUUGAACUCGCUGUGAAGAUGCAGUGUACCCGCGGCAAGACGGAAAGACCCCGUGAACCUUUACUAUAGCUUGACACUGAACAUUGAGCCUUGAUGUGUAGGAUAGGUGGGAGGCUUUGAAGUGUGGACGCCAGUCUGCAUGGAGCCGACCUUGAAAUACCACCCUUUAAUGUUUGAUGUUCUAACGUGGACCCGUUACCCGGGUUGCGGACAGUGUCUGGUGGGUAGUUUGACUGGGGCGGUCUCCUCCUAAAGAGUAACGGAGGAGCACGAAGGUUGGCUAAUCCUGGUCGGACAUCAGGAGGUUAGUGCAAUGGCAUAAGCCAGCUUGACUGCGAGCGUGACGGCGCGAGCAGGUGCGAAAGCAGGUCAUAGUGAUCCGGUGGUUCUGAAUGGAAGGGCCAUCGCUCAACGGAUAAAAGGUACUCCGGGGAUAACAGGCUGAUACCGCCCAAGAGUUCAUAUCGACGGCGGUGUUUGGCACCUCGAUGUCGGCUCAUCACAUCCUGGGGCUGAAGUAGGUCCCAAGGGUAUGGCUGUUCGCCAUUUAAAGUGGUACGCGAGCUGGGUUUAGAACGUCGUGAGACAGUUCGGUCCCUAUCUGCCGUGGGCGCUGGAGAACUGAGGGGGGCUGCUCCUAGUACGAGAGGACCGGAGUGGACGCAUCACUGGUGUUCGGGUUGUCAUGCCAAUGGCACUGCCCGGUAGCUAAAUGCGGAAGAGAUAAGUGCUGAAAGCAUCUAAGCACGAAACUUGCCCCGAGAUGAGUUCUCCCUGAGACUUAGAGUCUCCUGAAGGAACGUUGAAGACGACGACGUUGAUAGGCCGGGUGUGUAAGCGCAGCGAUGCGUUGAGCUAACCGGUACUAAUGAACCGUGAGGCUUAACCUUACAACGCCGAAG